AUCAGAAGACAAAAAAUAACAAUCAGAUCUACCCAAAAAAAGGAGAAAAAAAAGUUGUGUUCCUUCCUUACAUAGUAAGAACGAACUCCCUCCCCAUAUGAGAAAAUCCCAGUCGCCAUGGUUACCAUCUCCACUCCCCCACUUCUCUUAUGAACAUACACGAAAAACACACAAACAAGAGAUAGAAAGAGAAAAGAGAUCUGAACAGAAACGAGAGAGAAAAAAAACUCUAGAACGCGAAAUUCCAGAUCUGAAAUUUUUUCAAAGAGUGUUUCGAAUUUCAAACAAGCUGAUUUCGCUGUUUGUUUACAUUGAUGUUCAGUAUCUGAGCUCCAACAUUACAUUUGCUUUUCAGCCUUUGUUUUGGAUUUCAAGUUUCUUUGGGUUUUAGCCCGCAUACAAGAACUGCCAUCAUACAUGUGAUCUUCUACAACUUACUAUGUUUGGCACGUCAGGUUCUUUGCAGUCCCCUCUAUUUUGUUCCAUUAGCCAAGGACAAAAGCUAAAAAUUAUUGAGGAAGUGUAAACACUCUAGCAUAUCAAUUACUGCCAUACUUGUAAUAAGUGUUUAUCCUCCAUUGAAGUAGAAGAACACUUAUAAAUUACAGGGCAUUGAGCUUAAAAUAUUGUUUAUCCUGAGUCUUUGCUCCUGAUUUUUGCUUUUACUCCCUUGCUUCUGUAGCUCUGCUAAAUGAGUGUACCAAUAUAUUGUUCGAUAUAGUGGUGAUUUAUGGAUAAAAAUAUUUGGUUAAACUUUUCAAAA